rnacentral:rRNA from 1 species
UACAGGGGGUGCAAACGUUGCUCGGAAUCAUUGGGCGUAAAGCGCACGUAGGCGGUUCGUUAUGUCGGAUGUGAAAGCCCUUGGCUUAACCGAGGAAGUGCAUCCGAAACUGGCGAGCUAGAGUACUAAAGAGGAUCGCGGAAUUCCCGGUGUAGAGGUGAAAUUCGUAGAUAUUCGCAAGAACACCAGUGGCGAAGGCGGCUCACUGGCCCGAUACUGACGCUGAUGCACGAAAGCGUGGGGAGCAAACAGG